rnacentral:rRNA from 1 species
UACGGAGGGUGCGAGCGUUAUCCGGAUUCACUGGGUUUAAAGGGUGCGUAGGUGGGCUGGUAAGUCAGUGGUGAAAUCUCCAGGCUUAACUUGGAAACUGCCAUUGAUACUAUUAGUCUUGAAUACCGUGGAGGUCAGCGGAAUAUGUCAUGUAGCGGUGAAAUGCUUAGAUAUGACAUAGAACACCAAUUGCGAAGGCAGCUGGCUACACGAAUAUUGACACUGAUGCACGAAAGCGUGGGGAUCAAACAGG